rnacentral:tRNA from 1 species
GUUCUUAUAGUGUAUAUAGCACAUAAGAUUUUCAAUCUUUUAGAGCAUAAUAUAUUAGGAUGCUAAGAAUA